rnacentral:rRNA from 1 species
GACGAACGCUGGCGGCGUGCCUAAUACAUGCAAGUAGAACGCACAGUUUAUACCGUAGCUUGCUCCACCAUAGACUGUGAGUUGCGAACGGGUGAGUAACGCGUAGGUAACCUGCCUGGUAGCGGGGGAUAACUAUUGGAAACGAUAGCUAAUACCGCAUAAUAUUGAUUAUUGCAUGAUAAUUGAUUGAAAGAUGCUAUUGCAUCACUACCAGAUGGACCUGCGUUGUAUUAGCUAGUAGGUGAGGUAACGGCUCACCUAGGCGACGAUACAUAGCCGACCUGGGAGGGUGAUCGGCCACACUGGGACUGAGACACGGCCCAGACUCCUACGGGAGGCAGCAGUAGGGAAUCUUCGGCAAUGGACGAAAGUCUGACCGAGCAACGCCGCGUGAGUGAAGAAGGUUUUCGGAUCGUAAAGCUCUGUUGUAAGAGAAGAACGGGUGUGAGAGUGGAAAGUUCACACUGUGACGGUAUCUUACCAGAAAGGGACGGCUAACUACGUG